AUAAACUUUAUUUGAUGACUUUUUCUGCUGGGUAUCACCUGUCUUGUUUCUCCAUCAGCCUGUACUAAGCAUGGUCGCUUGCUUGUUCAUUUGCUUCUUCAUUCAUUCAACAUUUUGUGAGGUCCAAUAUCUUGGUUAGGUAUGGAGGAUAUAAAGAUGAUAAAUUAUGGGCCUUAAAAAAAAAGAAUCUAUGAGUCUGUUAGAGACUGAAACAGGAUAAAUUACUAAUAUAUCCCAUUAAUUGAAAAUGCCAACAGGUUUAGUAGAAUAGCAAGUGAAUUAAUUAAGUUGUGCCUCAGGGAUUACAAAAAAAUGGUUUCAUAGGAUGACUUAAAGACUUACAGCUUUUUUGUAAUGUGAGAAGAAUAAUAACUACCUGCCAUAUAGAACUGUUGCCAUCUGAGAAAAUGUGUAUGAAAAUGCUUUGUGAAGUUUGUGUAUUUAAAUACUAGCUUUGAAGAUCACAUAACAUAAACUGAAAAACAUCAAUUUUGGAUUAAGGCUUAGAUUUGAGUCAUGAUUGACAUUUGCUAGCUAUGUAGCCUUAGGCAAGUAACUGAUUUGUUAUCCCUCCAGUUUCUUGAUCUCUUGAGAUGAUAAUAUUGCUCUUAAAAGAACUUUUGUAAUUAGAUGAAAUAAGUGUCUUGGAAGAAACUAGCUCUCAGCAAUAACUAGUUUCCUUUUUUUUUAAAUAUUUAUUUUAUUUAUUUAUUCCCCUUUGUUGCCCUUGUUGUUUUAUUGUUGUAGUUAUUGUUGUUGUUGUAAUAACUAGUUUCCUAUCUACCAUUUGUCUAUGUUAUCUUCAGUGAGAGAUGAGAUUUUGGAAACAAAACACAGAUAUAAGAGUUUUGAUAAGGGAUUGUGAGCUUCUGUAGAGCAUUUUAUAGAUACUUGCUUUGGGGAGUCGGGCAGUAGCACAGCGGGUUAAGCGCAGUGGCGCAAAGCGCAAGGACUGGAGAAGAGAUCCUGGUUUGAGACCCUGGCUUCCCCACCUGCAGUGGGAGUCGCUUCACAAGUGGUGAAGCAGGUCUGCAGGUGUCUAUCUUUCUCUCCUCCUCUCUGUCUUCUCCUCUCUCCAUUUCUGUCUGUCCUAUCCAACAGCGACAACAACAACAAUGGUAACUACAGUAAUAAAACAACAAGGGCAACAAAAGGGAAUAAAUAAAUAUUAAAAAAAAAAAUGCUUGCUUUGAUUGGUCUGGAAGAUGGCGCAGCGGAUAAAGCAUUGGAUUGUCAACCAUCAGGUCCUGAGUUCAGUCCCCGGCAGCACAUGUACCAGAGUGAUGUCUGAGUCUUUCUCUCCUAUCUUACUCAUGAAUAAAUAAAUUCUUAAAAAAAAUAAAUAAAUAUUUGCUUUGAAGCAGAUAGAAUUAAGCUAGUAAUUGGGAAGAUGAACAGAAUUAAAGGAACACUUGAGGAUUUGUUUGUUUUUAAUAUGGGAGAGAUUUAGAUCCUUAUUUGGGAUAAAGGGAGAGAGGAAGGAAAAGGGUAAGCUGAGUAUAGGUCAGAGAAUGUCUCAGACGAUGCUGUAGCUCAUUUCAGAAGGAACCCUAGGUUGGUCCAUAUGUAAAAUAGUCACUGAUUCUGUAUGCUAUUUGAGAUCAUUAAAACUAAAUUGAGGGAGUCUGGUCUAGGUAGCGCAGCGGGUUAAGUGCAGGUGGCGCAAAGCGCAAGGACCAGCGUAAGGAUCCCGGUUCAAGCCCCCAGCUCCCCACCUGCACAGGCGGUGAAGCAGGUCUGCAGGUGUCUGUCUUUCUCUCCCCCUCUGUCUUCCCCUCUUUCAAUUUCUUUCUGUCCUGUCCAACAACAAUGACAUCAACAAUAACUACAGUAAUAAAACAACAAGGGCAACAAACAAGGGAAUAAAUAAAUAUAAAAAAAAAAAACAACUAAAUUGAAGGGCCGGGCCUGGUGGUAGAGUUGGUGGAACACAUAUGCUACAACUCACAAGAACCCAGGAUCAAGCCCUCUCCUAUAUGGGGAAGCUUCAUGAGCAGUGAGCUGGUGCUGCAGUUGUCUUUCUCUCUUCUAUCUCCUACUUUCCUCUUGAUGUCUUUCUCUAUCCAGUAAAUAAAUUAAGACAACAGAAAUUAAAUAGAAAAUUCAUUUCCUUAGUUGCUUUGUCAGUUACGCAGUAGCCACGUGUGGUGUUGGCUACAACUGGAUCAUGAAGAUAAAACGCAUUUUUAUUAUUACAGAAAAGUAUAUUCGAUUGUAUAUAGAAAGUAUAUUGCUUUAGCACGAAAGUUAUGAGGCAGAAAGAAGAGAAUGAAAAUUAGUUCAGGGAAUUCUAAAGUAGAAGUUGUGGAUAGUCUCUUAAUACUGAACUUUUUUCAGGGCUGGCUGGUGGCACACCUGGUUGAGUGCACAUAUUACAGUGCAUAAGGACAGGGGUUCGAUUCCCCGGUCUCCACCUGCAGGGGGAAAGCUUUGUGAGUGGUGAAGCAGUGCUGCAGGUGUCUCUCUGUCUCUCUCUAUCUCCCCAUCUCCUCUCAAUUUCUGGCUGUCUCUAUCCAAUAAAUAAAGAUAAUAAAAAAAAUUAAAUACUGAACUUUUUCUUGAGCGAUUGCAAAGAAUUUACUUAGGGAAGGAGGUGGGCAUAUUAGGAGAAAGUGGUGAAUGCUGUUACCUCCAAAGGUAGUUGUCAUGGACCCUCACUGCAUUUCACAUUUUAGUUCAAAUCCAUUCUAUUUAAAUGUUAUAUUCUGGCCAUGCACCACCACCCUCCUUGUAUUGGUUUGCAUUCUUCCUUCCAUUUGCAUUAGAAAUUCCCAUUCUAUAUUAUGUCAUUUCUUUUGCAAAUUAAAAAAGCCCUUUGCCAUCUGCCCAGACUACAGCAGAAAUUUGAGAGUAACGUGUGUCCUUCACAGCAGCCAUGUUUAUCCAUUGCUCUGCAUUCUUGAACCCUGUCUCUACAUUGGCACUUGGGCAGUUUUGAUUAGCCAUCAUUCCAUUGCUUUGCCCCAUCUUAUAUCUGCCCUCCCUUAUAUCCUCACCCUUUGGUUAAGUCCUGCUUCCUCUCUAGCUCUGCUUUCUCUAACCGGGAAUUAAUUAUUCAUUUUUCAAAGUAGAAAGCACUCCUUCGUAGCUGUUAGGAGAUCUGUUACGGUUAGAUUUAAUUCAAUGCUGUUUUAUGUUUUCUUAUUCCUUCCAGCUCUUUAUAACUUUCCUAAAGCAGUUAAAUUAUGCUCCCCACACAAUAUCAGAUAUUUUCAUUUGACUUUUGUAAAUGGAAAAAGUUCCCUCUAUUUUUUUGUCUGGCUUAUACUUUCACUAUUUGUCACAGAAUUUUAGAACAAAGGAAUAUUUUUCUUUUUGGUAAGAAAAAGCAUUAGACCUGGAAGGAAUGUUAGAGGGAGAUCAUCCGUAAAACUUACUUCACAAUGAAAAUCAAGACUCUUUUAAAGAAGCUUAGUGAUUUGCCCAAGGACAUUCUCUUAUUGUGGGCAUAGUGGGGAUGAACACCUGAGGGUCCUAACUGCAAAUCUAGUAGUUAUUGUCUUCAGGAUCUUGAAAAUGCCAUUUAUGGUGAAGGGAAAGGGCUCAAUAAUUACUGAUUACUAAUGAAAUGUAACAUAUUUUGAAUGCAAUGCGAAGUUAUAAUAUUGAUUUCUUUAUUUUAUUAGUAAAAACAUUUAGUUUUCAACUAUCAUAUAAUUAUUACCACUAGUUACUCGAAAUCUCAGUCAUUUUUGUUUUGCGCUAGUACUGCAUUUACUUUGUAACAAAAUAAAAAUUAUGGUGGAGGACUGUGAA